ensembl:snRNA U6 U6 spliceosomal RNA
GUGGUUGCUUCAGCAGCACAUGUACUAAAACUGGAACGAUAAAGAGAAGAUUGGCAUGGUCCCUGAGCAAGGACGGCAGGCAAAUUUGUGAAGCAUUCUAUACUUUC